rnacentral:rRNA from 1 species
GGCCAGACUCCUACGGGAGGCAGCAGUGGGGGAUAUUGCACAAUGGGGGGAACCCUGAUGCAGCGACGCCGCGUGGGCGAGGAAGUAUUUCGGUAUGUAAAGCCCUAUCGGCAGGGAAGAAGAAAUGACGGUACCUGAAUAAGAAGCACCGGCUAAAUACGUGCCAGCAGCCGCGGUAAUACGUAGGGGGCUAGCGUUAUCCGGAAUUACUGGGGGUAAAGGGUGCGUAGGUGGUUUCUUAAGUCAGAGGUGAAAGGCUACGGCUCAACCGUAGUAAGCCUUUGAAACUGGGGAACUUGAGUGCAGGAGAGGAGAGUGGAAUUCCUAGUGUAGCGGUGAAAUGCGUAGAUAUUAGGAGGAGCACCAGUUGCGAAGGCGGCUCUCUGGACUGUAACUGACACUGAGGCACGAAAGCGUGGGGAGCAAACAGGAUUAGAUACCCUAGUAAU